ACCAAAAAAAAACAUCUUUAAAAACCAGUAUAACCUUAUAAGAAUCAUUAGUUGUAGAGACUCACCGAACUGUUUCAGAAAAUGGUUCGUGAAGUCUUUCAUUGAGUCAGCCUGCUCGGGUCAGUUCACCAGUAGCAGCGGCGGAGGGAGGUCACGGUUCAGAGGUCUCGUGGGUUGACGCAGAACUAGAAGGAAUUAAAUGACGUGACGUGUACUGACUCCUUUCCACCAACCCAUAACAGCCCACGGGAAUCUAUAACAGGCCUGACGUUUCACUGCAAUUACGAAGUCCAACAAGGGAGAGGCUGUGGCUAUCAUUAUCUUUAAGCCUGAUGAGGUGUUAAGGAGUUUAAUGAGUAAGAGAGGCUGAGUCUUGCUACCUGUAAGCCUAACGAGGUGUUAAGUCUAUCAGUUUAAUGAGUAAGAGAGGCUGAGUCUUGCUACCUGUAAGCCUAACGAGGUGUUAAGUCUAUCAGUUUAAUGAGUAAGAGAGGCCGAGUCUUGCUACCUGUAAGCCUAACGAGGUGUUAAGUCAAUCAGUUUAAUGAGUAAGAGAGGCUGAGUCUUGCUACCUGUAAGACUAACGAGAGGAGUCAAGGUGCUUUUCACUGCAGUCAAGGAAGAGUCAAGUUGUAAGAUCGUAAGGCAAGAAUUUUAAGCAGAAAUAUUGUGAAGCAGUUAGCAGCAGCAGUGAGGAAAAGGUACAAGAGUUUUCAAGUUGUAAGAAGAUCGUAAGACAAGAAUUUGAAGCAGGAAUAAUUGUGAGGAAAGAUGUACAAGAGUUAUCAAGUUGUAAGAUCGUAAGGCAAGAAUUUUAAGCAGGAAUAAUUGUGAGGAAAGAUGUACAAGAGUUUUCAAGUUGUAUUAAGACUGUAAGGCAAGAAUUUGAAGCAGGAAGAGUGGUGAGGAAAGAUGUACAAGAGUUAUCAAGUUGUAAGAAGAUCGUAAGGCAAGAAUUUUAAGCAGGAAUAAAUUGUGAAGCAGGAAGAGUGGUGAGGAAAGAUGUACAAGAGUUUUUCAAGCUGUAAGAAAAUCGUAAGGCAAGAAUUUGAAGCAGGAAGAGUGGUGAGGAAAGAUGUACAAGAGUUUUUCAAGCUGUAAGAAGAUCGUAAGACAAGAAUUUGAAGCAGGAAGAGUGGUGAGGAAAGAUGUACAAGAGUUUUUCAAGUUGUAAGAAGAUCGUAAGGCAAGAAUUUUAAGCAGGAAUAAAUUGUGAAGCAGGAAGAGUGGUGAGGAAAGAUGUACAAGAGUUAUCAAGUUGUAAGAAGAUCGUAAGGCAAGAAUUUAAAGCAGGAAUAAAUUGUGAAGCAGGAAGAGUGGUGAGGAAAGAUGUACAAGAGUUUUUCAAGUUGUAAGAAGAUCGUAAGGCAAGAAUUUAAAGCAGGAAUAAAUUGUGAAGCAGGAAGAGUGGUGAGGAAAGAUGUACAAGAGUUAUCAAGUUAUAUUAAGACUGUAAGGCAAGAAUUUAAAGCAGGAAUAAUAUUGUGAAGGAAUUAACAGCAGGAAGACUCCCUUCAAGCUGUGGUGGGGACGACAAGCUGCCUUCAGGACUUGCAAAGGCUGAAGUCCGCAGUCCGCAACACUUGUCUCACUCAAGUUGACACAGGCGUUCUCGGACACAAGGAAAAUAAAUAGAUGUUUUAUCAUAAUUGUGUGUAUUUAUUAAAGUUUUAUGUCAUUAAAUAAUAGUGAUUAAAUAUUAUCUUGUACAUAC